AGAAACAAUAUAAAAAGGGAGGAGAGAAACCGCGCCUUAUAUAAAUUAAAUAUACAUACACUUGAUGUCUCUUAGCAACUACUAAGAGACAUCAAGUGUAUGUAUAUUUAAUUUAUAUAAGGCGCGGUUUCUCUCCUCCCUUUUUAUAUCAUCUUAUA
rnacentral:miRNA from 1 species